rnacentral:rRNA from 1 species
AAUGAACGCUGGCGGCGUGCUUAACACGUGCAAGUCGAACGAUGAAGCCCAGCUUGCUGGGUGGAUUAGUGGCGAACGGGUGAGUAACACGUGAGUAACCUGCCCUUGACUCUGGGAUAAGCCUGGGAAACUGGGUCUAAUACCGGAUAGGAACGUCCACCGCAUGGUGGUUGUUGGAAAGAUUUAUCAGUCAUGGAUGGACUCGCGGCCUAUCAGCUUGUUGGUGAGGUAAUGGCUCACCAAGGCGACGACGGGUAGCCGGCCUGAGAGGGUGAACGGCCACACUGGGACUGAGACACGGCCCAGACUCCUACGGGAGGCAGCAGUGGGGAAUAUUGCACAAUGGGCGAAAGCCUGAUGCAGCGACGCCGCGUGAGGGAUGACGGCCUUCGGGUUGUAAACCUCUUUCAGUAGGGAAGAAGCGAAAGUGACGGUACCUGCAGAAGAAGCACCGGCUAACUACGUGCCAGCAGCCGCGGUAAAAC